rnacentral:rRNA from 1 species
GUCGAACGGCAGCAUGAGGGUGGUAACACUCUUGAUGGCGAGUGGCGGACGGGUGAGUAACGCGUAGGGAUCUGCCCUAGAGAGGGGGAUAACCCGGGGAAACUCGGGCUAAUACCGCAUAAUAUCUGCGGAUCAAAGUGUGCGCCUUCGGGGCACAUGCUUUAGGAGGAACCUGCGUCCGAUUAGCUAGUUGGUAGGGUAAAGGCCUACCAAGGCGACGAUCGGUAGCUGGUCUGAGAGGACGAUCAGCCACACUGGGACUGAGACACGGCCCAGACUCCUACGGGAGGCAGCAGUGGGGAAUAUUGGACAAUGGGGGCAACCCUGAUCCAGCAAUGCCGCGUGUGUGAAGAAGGCCUGCGGGUUGUAAAGCACUUUAGUUGGGGAGGAAGGUAUGGAGUCGAAUAGGCUUCAUAAUUGACGUUACCCAAAGAAUAUGCACCGGCUAACUCUGUGCCAGCAGCCGCGGUAAUACAGAGGGUGCAAGCGUUAAUCGGAAUUACUGGGCGUAAAGGGCGCGUAGGUGGGUUGAUAAGUUAGAUGUGAAAUACCUGGGCUUAACCUGGGAGGGUCAUAUAAUACUGUCAAUCUAGAGUAUGGUAGAGGGUAGUGGAAUUUCCGGUGUAGCGGUGAAAUGCGUAGAUAUCGGAAGGAACAUCAAUGGCGAAGGCAGCUACCUGGACUAAUACUGACACUGAGGCGCGAAAGCGUGGGUAGCAAACAGGAUUAGAUACCCUGGUAGUCCACGCUGUAAACGAUGAAAACUAGCCGUUGGGAGAGAGAUC